rnacentral:rRNA from 1 species
UACGGAGGGUGCAAACGUUGCUCGGAAUUAUUGGGCGUAAAGCGCGCGUAGGUGGUUUGUUAAGUUGGAUGUGAAAUCCCCGGGCUCAACCUGGGAACUGCAUUCAAAACUGACAAGCUAGAGUAUGGUAGAGGGUGGUGGAAUUUCCUGUGUAGCGGUGAAAUGCGUAGAUAUAGGAAGGAACACCAGUGGCGAAGGCGACCACCUGGACUGAUACUGACACUGAGGUGCGAAAGCGUGGGGAGCAAACAGG